rnacentral:rRNA from 1 species
UACGGAGGGGGCGAGCGUUGUCCGAAUUUAUUGGGCGUAAAGCGCGUGUAGGCGGACCGUAAAGCCUGGGGUGAAAGCCCGGAGCUCAACUCCGGAACGGCCCUGGGGACUUAUGGUCUGGAGGCAGGCAGAGGAGCGUGGAAUUCCCGGUGUAGCGGUGGAAUGCGUAGAGAUCGGGAAGAACACCCGUGGCGAAGGCGGCGCUCUGGGCCUGUACUGACGCUGAGACGCGAAAGCGUGGGGAGCGAACGGG